CGAGCUUCGAUCUUUUUUCACAGCCUUCCACGCUGCCGGCAUCCGCUAUUUUCAUAUUCAAACCAGGCUGAAUUGUCGGAAAGGGUUUUUGAAUCGACCUCGCUUUCUGUAACAUCUACCUUUCCAUACCUGUUCUGGCUUCUCAAACUGCAGAGCCAAAUUCAUUUCAGCAUUUGUUUCCUCUCUCUGCUUCCUGGCUACCACGACAUAAGCAGCUGUGCUCUGCUGUGCCUUCUGCCGCAGUGUGUGCUGGUCAUGAGGACGCGGGCAGGGUUUCUGCUGUGAGGACCUGUGUUAGUAUGCUGUUGUGCCUGGAGAUGCCUCUGCUGUGGGCACCGCGCUGUCACCCCAUAGCCUGGAGAGAUCUCUCUGAUGCCUUCCUAAGAGAGUGGGUUGUGUACUCCAGGGUCUCUGGAUAUGGCAUUCUACACACAGAACAAAGUCCCCUUUCAUCAUCCUGGAUCUGCGGAUGGCAAGACUGGCCCUGGCAGCCACAGAAGGGAAAAAGCUGCCUCCUUGUGGAGCUGGGCUCUGGCCGACCACACAAUAAUACCCUGUAUGAGAAGGGGAACAUUCUCACUCAGCCGGAUGGCUUUCAAGAGAAAGAGUGGCCUCGGUGGGCAAAGUCCUUGAGUAUCCGAUGUGAACGUGUGGGUAUCUUCAGAUGGCCAGGCAUUUGGAAGACUCUGCUCCAUCUAAUCUCUUACGACAUCCUGUGUGUGCCCAGGGCACCAGCGCUGAGCUGAGAACAACGCCUCUGCUGGGAAACAGAAACCAUGCUCUGCUGUGACCGGUGGAUCCCUCUGUCCCACAGAGCAGCCACAUGGCCUGAGAGCCUUGAUGCCACCCCUGCUCUGGAAAGCAUGUGCAUUCUGUGUUUCUUCCAGCAAAUCCCAAGUGCCCAUCUUACCAAGGAUGGCCCCAACCAGCUCUUCUCUGGCUCUAUUUACUUAUUUAAAGUGGAGUCAUAUUGAAUCAGUCAUUUUCUUCCUGUAGUCUUAAAAAUAAUUGUUUCUUCAGAGUUCUAAAUUCUAAAUUUGAAAGCUAAAAAAUAAAUAAAUAAACUUGAAAUAAAUAAAUAAAUAAACAAGUAAUUCCUCGA